rnacentral:lncRNA from 1 species
CCCUAUCUGGUCCGGUCUAGACUAGAGAUUAUCUUGGUUUGCACCCAGUUCAACGGAAUAGCUAUGGUAGCCGGUAGGUGGUGACAGUCCUGUCCGGUCUAUGUAGUCCAUCAUGUUAGUUCUGGACUGUAGGACUUAGGGGUAGACACGAUCAUCGCCCUUUUCAUCCCUUUUCGGGAUGGUGUGUCUCGAGCGCCCGAAGUGAACUCUCGUGAGUAAGUCUGAUUAGUUUGAUUCAUCAAAAUAGCUAGUUUUACUCGACAAGUACCCUCUCUACCC